rnacentral:rRNA from 1 species
GGCGGCGUGCUUAACACAUGCAAGUCGAACGAUGAACCGGUUUCGGCCGGGGAUUAGUGGCGAACGGGUGAGUAACACGUGGGUAAUCUGCCCCGCACUCUGGGAUAAGCCCGGGAAACUGGGUCUAAUACCGGAUAUACAUCGAUGGUCGCAUGGCCUGUCGGUGGAAAGCUCCGGCGGUGAAGGAUGAGCCCGCGGCCUAUCAGCUUGUUGGUGGGGUGAUGGCCUACCAAGGCGACGACGGGUAGCCGGCCUGAGAGGGUGACCGGCCACACUGGGACUGAGACACGGCCCAGACUCCUACGGGAGGCAGCAGUGGGGAAUAUUGCACAAUGGGCGCAAGCCUGAUGCAGCGACGCCGCGUGAGGGAUGACGGCCUUCGGGUUGUAAACCUCUUUCAGCAGGGAAGAAGCGCAAGUGACGGUACCUGCAGAAGAAGCACCGGCUAACUACGUGCCAGCAGCCGCGGUAAUACGUAGGGUGCAAGCGUUGUCCGGAAUUAUUGGGCGUAAAGAGCUCGUAGGCGGCUUGUCGCGUCGGUUGUGAAAGCCCGGGGCUUAACCCUGGGUCUGCAGUCGAUACGGGCAGGCUAGAGUUCGGCAGGGGAGAUCGGAAUUCCUGGUGUAGCGGUGAAAUGCGCAGAUAUCAGGAGGAACACCGGUGGCGAAGGCGGAUCUCUGGGCCGAUACUGACGCUGAGGAGCGAAAGCGUGGGGAGCGAACAGGAUUAGAUACCCUGGUAGUCCACGCCGUAAACGUUGGGCACUAGGUGUGGGCGGCAUUCCACGUCGUCCGUGCCGUAGCUAACGCAUUAAGUGCCCCGCCUGGGGAGUACGGCCGC